rnacentral:rRNA from 1 species
AUGAACGCUAGCUACAGGCUUAACACAUGCAAGUCGAGGGGCAGCAUGAAGUCAGCUUGCUGACUUGAUGGCGACCGGCGCACGGGUGAGUAACGCGUAUCCAACCUUCCCCUUAGUAGGGCAUAGCCCGUAGAAAUGCGGAUUAAUACCCUAUGUUUUCCAAUGAGGACAUCUGAGCUGGAACAAAGAUUCAUCGCUAAGGGAUGGGGAUGCGUCUGAUUAGGCAGCAGGCGGGGUAACGGCCCACCUGGCCGACGAUCAGUAGGGGUUCUGAGAGGAAGGUCCCCCACAUUGGAACUGAGACACGGUCCAAACUCCUACGGGAGGCAGCAGUGAGGAAUAUUGGUCAAUGGUCGAGAGACUGAACCAGCCAAGUAGCGUGCAAGGAUGAUGGCCCUAUGGGUUGUAAACUGCUUUUAUGCGGGGAUAAAGUUCACUACGUGUAGUGUUUUGUAGGUACCGCAUGAAUAAGGACCGGCUAAUUCCGUGCCAGCAGCAGC